GUUUUUUGUAUAUCAUCUUAUAUUGAACAUAUGCAAUUUUAUAAUGUAACAAUUUAGAUUGCUUAUAUGUAUGGAAUAAUACGUAGAAUGCAUGUGGAUAAACAAAUUGUGGUGUAUUCAUACAAUGGAAUACCAAUUUAUGGCCAUAAAAAGGAACAAACUACUGACUCGUGCAACAACGUGGAUGAAUGUUCCCCCACGUUAUCGAGAUGAAUGUCAUCUGUCUGAAUGCAACAUGGAAACUUCAGUGAAUGUGUUAGAACAGAACUCGUAUGAGAGCAUCAGCCAGAAACACAAUGGAUUAGUGUUCUGUUUCAUUCCCAUGGAUGUCAUGCACAGCACCCCUCUUCAUCUCACAUUCCUGGGGAUGCUGGCUUCUCUAACAAGAGGCUGAGUUUCCCUGGGUUUCUGUAAGGACCUGAACACCUCCAGUAGCAAUCCGUGCCCUUUGCUUGUGACUCCAGAGCUCCCAGAUAGAAGUGGUUGGAUGGAGCCAGGAACAGCAGAGAACUCCGGCCGAGGGGUGACCCACCAGCAUCGUUCCACCAGCCUCCAGCGAUGGUGGGUGUGGACUUGAACUUCCAACUUCAGUCUAGGCCAAGGGGAGGGCAGUGAGAGGUUCGCAUACCCAUCAUCCCUUCCAUGCCCAUAAAGGUUCCUAAAAUAUCAUUCGUUAGCCCCAAACUGUAUGAGACCCUCCCUCCUAGUGUUCCCCUGUGCAACUGUCACAACAUGAUUAAUCUAAUUUGCAGUAUUAUUUGUUUGCUUGUCUUAUCUCCCUGCUCUCUACAUUCUUAUGUUAUGUAAGUACCUUGAGGUCAGGGACAUCUCUAGAUGAUCUUUGUACAAGUCAUUACAUGAAGAAAAUGCUCAAUAAAUAUUUGUGUUU
rnacentral:lncRNA from 1 species